UCCGAAGGGCCAGAGCUGAUCUCUCCCAGGAAGCUGCCAAAGGAACACCCUCCACCAACCACCGACAAGCUCUCGGGCUGAUCAUAAGAAACUUUUUUGCACACAUUGGGUUAAUUGUGAGAUGGAUUUUCCAGGUUCAACAGCAUUUAAUGGAGAGCAUAGACGCAGCCUCUCACAACAUAUUUUUCCAAGUUGUGCUUGUGCCUUUCUGGACGAUGAUCCUGCCUAUGAGUGUUCCACAAGCCCUCUGACAGGCUCCCUUUCCCCAAGCCGCCGCAGCCCUCGGCUGCUUUCUAAUGGUUAUUACGUUUUGACAGAAGACAGUUUUCUGUCUGAUGAAGAGGGCAAUGUAACAUUGACACCAUCCCAC
rnacentral:lncRNA from 1 species